UGAGGAUCUGCCUACAGGACGGGGACAACAGCUGGAAACGGCUGCUAACACCCGAUGUGCCGAGAGGUGAAAUAUUAAUAGCCUGUAGAUGAGCUCGCGUCUGAUUAGCUAGUUGGUUGGGUAAUGGCUGACCAAGGCGACGAUCAGUAACUGGUCUGAGAGGAUGACCAGUCACACUGGGACUGAGACACGGCCCAGACUCCUACGGGAGGCAGCAGUGGGGAAUUUUCCGCAAUGGGCGCAAGCCUGACGGAGCAAUACCGCGUGAGGGAGGACGGCUCUUGGGUUGUAAACCUCUUCUCUGGGAAGAACACAAUGACGGUACCAGAGGAAUCAGCAUCGGCUAACUCCGUGCCAGCAGCCGCGGUAAUACGGAGGAUGCAAGCGUUAUCCGGAAUUAUUGGGCGUAAAGCGUCCGUAGGUGGUUUUGAAAGUCUAUUGUCAAAGCGCGGGGCUUAACCUCGUAAGGGCAGUAGAAACUAUGAGACUAGAGUUCGGUAGGGGUCAGGGGAAUUCCCAGUGUAGCGGUGAAAUGCGUAGAUAUUGGGAAGAACACCAGCGGCGAAAGCGCCUGACUGGGCCUGAACUGACACUGAUGGACGAAAGCUAGGGGAGCGAAAGGGAUUAGAUACCCCUGUAGUCCUAGCCGUAAACGAUGACAAGGUAGGUGUUGCCCGUAUCGACCCGGGCAGUGCCGUAGCUAACGCGUUAA
rnacentral:rRNA from 1 species